rnacentral:rRNA from 1 species
AGAGAUGCACUGGGGUUUAAAGCGUGCGCAGGCGGUUUUGUAAGACAGAGGUGAAAUCCCCGGGCUCAACCUGGGAACUGCCUUUGUGACUGCAAGGCCGGAGUGCGGCAGAGGGGGAUGGAAUUCCGCGUGUAGCAGUGAAAUGCGUAGAUAUGCGGAGGAACACCGAUGGCGAAGGCAAUCCCCUGGGCCUGCACUGACGCUCAUGCACGAAAGCGUGGGGAGCAAACA